rnacentral:sRNA from 1 species
GCUGGGCACGGUGGUGCAUGCUUGUAAUUCCAGUAGCUUGGGAGGCUGAGACAGGAGCAUAGUGAGUUCAAAGCCAGCUUCAGCAAUAGUGAGGCAUUAAGCAACUCAGUGAGAUCCUGUCUCUA